GCGGCGAGUGAAGCGGCAAAAGCUCAAAUUUGAAAUCUGGCGUCUUUGGCGUCCGAGUUGUAAUUUGAAGAAGGUAUCUUUGGGCCCGGCUCUUGUCUAUGUUCCUUGGAACAGGACGUCACAGAGGGUGAGAAUCCCGUGCGAUGAGAUGACCCGGGUCUGUGUAAAGUUCCUUCGACGAGUCGAGUUGUUUGGGAAUGCAGCUCUAAGUGGGUGGUAAAUUCCAUCUAAAGCUAAAUAUUGGCGAGAGACCGAUAGCGAACAAGUACAGUGAUGGAAAGAUGAAAAGAACUUUGAAAAGAGAGUGAAAAAGUACGUGAAAUUGUUGAAAGGGAAGGGCUUGAGAUCAGACUUGGUAUUUUGCAUGCUGCUCUCUCGGGGGCGGCCGCUGCGGUUUACCGGGCCAGCAUCGGUUUGGAGCGGCAGGAUAAUGGCGGAGGAAUGUGGCACGGCUUCUGCUGUGUGUUAUAGCCUCUGAC
rnacentral:rRNA from 1 species